rnacentral:rRNA from 1 species
UACGAAGGGGGCUAGCGUUGCUCGGAAUCACUGGGCGUAAAGCGCACGUAGGCGGAUUACUAAGUCAGGGGUGAAAUCCUGGAGCUCAACUCCAGAACUGCCUUUGAUACUGGCGAUCUCGAGUCCGGGAGAGGUGAGUGGAACUGCGAGUGUAGAGGUGAAAUUCGUAGAUAUUCGCAAGAACACCAGUGGCGAAGGCGGCUCACUGGCCCGGUACUGACGCUGAGGUGCGAAAGCGUGGGGAGCAAACAGG